GGAGGGGUGCCGGAGUGGUUUAACGGAGCGGUCUCGAAAACCGCGGGUCUAAACAGAUCCUCGUGGGUUCGAAUCCCACCCCCUCCGCCA
rnacentral:tRNA from 1 species